rnacentral:rRNA from 1 species
GACCUACGGGAGGCAGCAGUGGGGAAUAUUGCACAAUGGGCGCAAGCCUGAUGCAGCGACGCCGCGAGAGGGAUAGGGGCCUUCGGGUUGUAAACCGCUUUUGUUCAAGGGCAAGGCACGGUCUUUGGCCGUGUUGAGUGGAUUGUUCGAUUAAGCACCGGAUAACUACGAGCCAGCAGCCGCGGUAAUACGUAGGGGGCAAGCGUUAUCCGGAUUUAUUGGGCUUAAAGGGCUAGUAGGCGGUUCGUCGCGGCCGGUGUGAAAGUCCAUCGCUUAACGG